AUUAUGAAUCGAUCACGUUAUUUGAUUAUACAUAGAACUGAAUGGAAUCGUCUGAAAAGAUGUCAAAGUCCUGAUAAAAGAGAAUCGGAAAAGAAUGAUUACUUAAAGUCUUCUAUAGAACAAUCUCAAAAUUGGAUUAAGAUGUGGCCGGAUACAGUACAGGGUUAUGCCCACCAACUAGAAACUAAAAAAAAUAUAAAACACGCUCAACAAAUAGAGUCCGUAAAAAAGUUCGUCUCUAGAAAGAAACAUGAAAUCAAGAUGGAAUCUAUUAAAAAAGCCAGAGACAUUAUAUUUGAAGAUAGUUGCUACGGUCGUCAACUUUUAAGUGCAUUAGUAGAAUCAAAUACUCUUGAAGAAAUAAAACAGCAAAUAGUAUUCCAAAAAAAUAUAAAACAAACUGCUGACCUCCAAAAACUUAAUGAGUCACAGGCAUCGUCUAUACGAAGUGCCAGUGAAAUGGAAUCAAUUGAAAUAAAAAGGGAACUCCUCAAAAAACAAAGAAAUGAAGACGUAGCUCGAUUUAAUCAAGCGAUGUAAGUAACUUAGUAAAUAAAAUUAUAAGCCGUAUAAAAAAAAAUCUUAUCUGCAUUGCACGUCUUUACAUUUGACUUUAAAAUAUCA